rnacentral:rRNA from 1 species
UACGGAGUGUGCAAGCGUUACUCGGAAUCACUGGGCAUAAAGGGCGUGUAGGCGGGCUUUCAAGUCGGUUGUGAAAUCCCUCAGCUCAACUGAGGAACUGCAUCCGAUACUGUUUGUCUUGAGGACGAGAAGGGAGAGUGGAACUUCUGGUGGAGCGGUGAAAUGCGUAGAUAUCAGAAGGAACGCCGGUGGCGAAAAGCGACUCUCUGGCUCGUAUCUGACGCUGAAACGCGAAAGCUUGGGUAGCA